GUAGGGUGCGAGCGUUGUCCGGAAUUACUGGGCGUAAAGAGCUCGUAGGUGGUUUGUCGCGUUGUUCGUGAAAACUCACAGCUUAACUGUGGGCGUGCGGGCGAUACGGGCAGACUGGAGUACUGCAGGGGAGACUGGAAUUCCUGGUGUAGCGGUGGAAUGCGCAGAUAUCAGGAGGAACACCGGUGGCGAAGGCGGGUCUCUGGGCAGUAACUGACGCUGAGGAGCGAAAGCGUGGGGAGCGAACAGGAUUAGAUACCCUGGUAGUCCACGCCGUAAACGGUGGGUACUAGGUGUGGGUUUCCUUCCUUGGGAUCCGUGCCGUAGCUAACGCAUUAAGUACCCCGCCUGGGGAGUACGGCCGCAAGGCUAAA
rnacentral:rRNA from 1 species